GACGAACGCUGGCGGCGUGCUUAACACAUGCAAGUCGAACGGUGAAGGGGAGCUUGCUCCCCGGAUCAGUGGCGAACGGGUGAGUAACACGUGGGCAACCUGCCCCUGACUUCGGGAUAACGCCUCGAAAGAGGUGCUAAUACCGGAUACGAGCCUCCUGGGCAUCUAGGAGGUUGGAAAGUUUUUCCGGCGGGGAUGGGCCCGCGGCCUACCAGCUUGUUGGUGAGGUAACGGCUCACCAAGGCGACGACGGGUAGCCGGCCUGAGAGGGCGAACGGCCACACUGGGACUGAGACACGGCCCAGACUCCUACGGGAGGCAGCAGUGGGGAAUAAUGCGCAAUGGGCGAAAGCCUGACGCAGCAACGCCGCGUGAGGGACGACGGCCUUCGGGUUGUAAACCUCUUUCAGCAGGGAAGAAGCGAAAGUGACGGUACCUGCAGAAGAAGCACCGGCUAACUAGGUGCCAGCAGCCGCCGUAACAC
rnacentral:rRNA from 1 species